AUGAUCUCCACGUUCCUCCUUCAGCUGCUGCUGCUAUCAGCCGUUUGUUGUGUCCAGGGUGUGGAUCUGAUCCAGUCUGGAUCUACAGUCGUAAAUCCUGGUCAGUCGAUGACACUGAGCUGUAAAGUGUCUGGAUAUUCAUUAACUGACAGAGGCUACUGUACACACUGGAUACGACAACCUGCUGGAGGAGCUCUGGAGUGGGUUGGAGAGAUCUGUGGAGAUGGAAACACUUAUUACAGUGAGAGACUGAAAAGCAGGUUUCAGGUCAGCAGAGACACGUCCAGUAGUACAGUUACGUUAGGAGGACAGAAGAUGCAGAGUGAAGAUACAGCUGUGUAUUACUGCGCUCGUGAACCACAGUGA